UGUGCACUUUUUUCACUUUCAAAAUUCAUCAACUGGGCCGGAUUGAACACCCUAGCUGGCCAGUUUUGGCCCACGGGCUGUAGGUUCGACACCCCUGUCUUACACUAUAUGUCAAUAGAAAAUGUUUCCCUAUUGUGCAAAGCAUAUUUUUAAGGAGUUGUUUUUUAGAGGAACUCCUUAUGUUUUGCAUUUAAUACCAAAGUAAAACAGUUGUUUUGUUUAGUUGAACACAAUGCUGAUAUACUCAGGAAUAGAAGAAAGAAACACCAAAGAGCAAUUCAGUGGAAUUGGAUAGUUUUCCACAGUACACCGCCCGGUGGUUGGGAAUCACUGACUUAGAGUGUGGCUGAAAAUAGAGUUCAAAAGGCAUAAAUUCCUACCUACUAGUUAAUCUACGACUUAAAUCGACAAUUACCUACCUCCUUUUAUCUAAGUUCCCAUUCCAGGUCAACUCAGGGUCAAAGCUUUGAUGGAAAAAAGUAGGUUACAUACACAGAGAUAUCGAUCUGCUUACUGUUCUCCCGUGAGGCUAGGAAGUUUUUUGAUCUACGAUGUAGAAGGAAAGAGAGAGAUCUUUGAAUUAUUUGUGUUGUUUCCUGUUUCCUCCUUUCCUGUUUAGCGAUGGAUUAUUAUAUCAGUCGCUGUUCGAGGAGAUUGCUAAAGAACUGAUGGAGGAGGGGAGAAUUUUGACCCAUAACUUAGUGCUACAUAAUCUAAAAAAACUGGAAUGACAAAUGCCUCUGGGCCCUGUUAAAAGAAUGACUUUUUAAACCUCAUUUGUGCUAAUAAUAUUGUUUUAUGGAGACAUGACUUUUCAUUGGACCGAUGCCUGUCCUGUCCACCGGUCUCCUACACGAGGCUAAAAGGGUGGAGGCUCGUUCCGUCCUCAUCAACCGUGCACGACGACACAACGACACAGAACACACAAACCAGCCAGGGUUGCUUUCACAAAAUAGUUUUACUGGUAAAAAAUAGAACUACUUGCACAAGCACAUUGAGACACCUGUAUCAGAACUUGUGAACUGUUCAUCAUCACAAUUAUGCUCUGCAAAGUAA